GUGAUGUGUUGGUGUGCUAGCAGAGGAGUUGGGGGAGACUGAGGCAGUUGCGGGGAUGCUGAUUUUGAACAAGGGAAGAAGAUAUCUAUGCUAUGAUGUAUUGAGUAUGGAUAUGGUGGUUACUAUGUGAGGGUUCUCUUUGUGGUAUUCUCUCUAUGCUAUGUUGGUUGUGUGGUAAAUUACUUAUGAUGGCUUACUGUGGAGGUGGACAAUGGAUGUGGAGAAUAUGAAGGAGAAGGAGAUGUGGGAGCGAGGAAGUUGUUGGUGCUGGUUUGAUAGCUGUGGUGCUGUGUGUAGUGAAGGGUUUUGACAAGUUCUUG
rnacentral:misc_RNA from 1 species